GGCGUAAAGAGCUCGUAGGCGGUUUGUCGCGUCUGCUGUGAAAUUUCGAGGCUCAACCUCGAACUUGCAGUGGGUACGGGCAGGCUAGAGUGCGGUAGGGGAGAUGGGAAUUCCUGGUGUAGCGGUGGAAUGCGCAGAUAUCAGGAGGAACACCAAUGGCGAAGGCACAUCUCUGGGCCGUAACUGACGCUGAGGAGCGAAAGCGUGGGGAGCGAACAGGAUUAGAUACCCUGGUAGUCCACGCCGUAAACGGUGGGUGCUAGCUGUGGGCCACAUUCCACGUGGUCCGUGACGAAGUUAACACAUUAAGCACCCCGCCUGGGGAGUACGGCCGCAAGGCUAAAACUCAAAGGAAUUGACGGGGGCCCGCACAAGCGGCGGAGCAUGCGGAUUAAUUCGAUGCAACGCGAAGAACCUUACCAAGGCUUGACAUAUAGAGGAAAAGUGCAGAAAUGUACUCCCCGCAAGGUCUCUAUACAGGUGGUGCAUGGUUGUCGUCAGCUCGUGUCGUGAGAUGUUGGGUUAAGUCCCGCAACGAGCGCAACCCUCGUCCUAUGUUGCCAGCACGUAAUGGUGGGAACUCAUGGGAUACUGCCGGGGUCAACUCGGAGGAAGGU
rnacentral:rRNA from 1 species